rnacentral:rRNA from 1 species
UGAACGCUGGCGGCAUGCCUUACACAUGCAAGUCGAACGGCAGCACGGGAGCAAUCCUGGUGGCGAGUGGCGAACGGGUGAGUAAUGUAUCGGAACGUGCCCAGUCGUGGGGGAUAACGCAGCGAAAGCUGUGCUAAUACCGCAUACGAUCUAUGGAUGAAAGCGGCGGACCGCAAGGCGUCGCGCGGAUGGAUGAGCCGAUAUCCGAUUAGCUAGUUGGCGGGGUAAAGGCCCACCAAGGCGACGAUCGGUAGCUGGUCUGAGAGGAUGAUCAGCCACACUGGAACUGAGACACGGUCCAGACUCCUACGGGAGGCAGCAGUGGGGAAUAUUGGACAAUGGGCGCAAGCCUGAUCCAGCCAUGCCGCGUGUGUAGA